GUGAACGCUGGCGGUAGGCCUAACACAUGCAAGUCGAACGGCAGCACAGUAAGAGCUUGCUCUUCCGGGUGGCGAGUGGCGGACGGGUGAGGAAUACAUCGGAAUCUACUUUUUCGUGGGGGAUAACGUAGGGAAACUUACGCUAAUACCGCAUACGACCUACGGGUGAAAGCAGGGGAUCUUCGGACCUUGCGCGAUUGACUGAGCCGAUGUCGGAUUAGCUAGUUGGCGGGGUAUAGGCCCACCAAGGCGACGAUCCGUAGCUGGUCUGAGAGGAUGAUCAGCCACACUGGAACUGAGACACGGUCCAGACUCCUACGGGAGGCAGCAGUGGGGAAUAGUGGACAAUGGGCGCAAGCCUGAUCCAGCCAUACCGCGUGGGUGAAGAAGGCCUUCGGGUUGUAAAGCCCUUUUGUUGGGAAAGAAAAGCAGCAGGUUAAUACCCCGCUGUUCUGACGGUACCAAAAGAAUAAGCACCGGCUAACUUCGUG
rnacentral:rRNA from 1 species